rnacentral:rRNA from 1 species
CAUAGCCUUUAGCCCCAACCGUAUUAAAGGUAACGCCUGCCCAGUGACACACUUAAACGGCCGCGGUAUCCUAACCGUGCAAAGGUAGCGUAAUCACUUGUCCCCCAAAUAGGGACCAGUAUGAACGGCUAAAUGAAGAUUAAACUGUCUCCUAUGACUAAUCAGUGAAACUGAUCUCCCAGUACAAAAGCUGGGAUGAACACAUAAGACGAGAAGACCCUGUGGAGCUUAAAAUUAAAACCACCCACACAAAAUCAACAUGUGUACCUAUGGCCCACAAUUUUAAGUUGGGGCGACUUCGGAACCAAACAAAACUUCCGAGCAAAAGAGCAUCCCUCGUACCAAGGCUAACACGCCUAAGCACAAACUGACCCAGUCAUACUGACCAACGAACCAAGUUACCCCAGGGAUAACAGCGCUAUCUUCUUCAAGAGUCCCUAUCGCCAAGAAGGUUUACGACCUCGAUGUUGGAUCAGGACACCCAAAUGGUGCAGCCGCUAUUAAAGGUUCGUUUGUUCAACGAUUAACAGUCCUACGUGAU